UACGGAGGGUGCAAGCGUUAUCCGGAUUCACUGGGUUUAAAGGGUGCGUAGGUGGGCAGGUAAGUCAGUGGUGAAAUCUCCGGGCUUAACCCGGAAACUGCCGUUGAUACUAUCUGUCUUGAAUACUGUGGAGGUAAGCGGAAUAUGUCAUGUAGCGGUGAAAUGCUUAGAUAUGACAUAGAACACCAAUUGCGAAGGCAGCUUACUACACAGUUAUUGACACUGAGGCACGAAAGCGUGGGGAGCAAACGGG
rnacentral:rRNA from 1 species